UGCGCAGUGUAGUACCUGUUAGAACCUUAGCUCAAAAGACACCUCCACCAGCAGUAACCUCUGACCUGCUCGGAAGGGAGCAGCCAAGGCGGUCAGUCACUGCUUCAAUUCACUGCUUUCUGACACUGAGCUAAGGAGUCAGUUUCUAUCUAUCCCUAUCCUACUAAGCACCUGCCUGAGGCCAAGAGUCUUUUGAAUGUGUGGGGAUGAGAUUAAUAGCCAUCCCCUUCAAUUCGAUCAUUUCCCCUUGAUAUAUCUGACCUCAGUAACACUACCUGGACUCAAACUUCCCAAGUUAGAAAGCAGGUCACUGCCUUAUUUUAAAAGGUGAUGAAUUACUAACAUUCGCCUACCCCUCCGUGCAGGUUAAGUAGAACCCGUUCCAAGGAAACAAUGUUAUAUUCAGAAGCAAGGCAGUUAAAUUCAGCAUGCAUCCCCACAGCGUUUGGUUCUUCGUUGCCACUUUGUUAAAUGUCAGUGGUCUUUAACUUUUUGCAAGGAUGUGCCCCUCAAGAACUAGUCCUGAAACUUCUGUUGUAGUCUUCGAUGUGAAACAUCUGCCAUUUAACGUGCUUUCUAGCCAGGGGUUAAAGGCAAUCCUCAGCAUAGAAAGAUAGGCUGACCACAGAUCCUUGAAAAUAGCUUUGCAACCCGUAGAAGUCAAACCAAGUAAGUACUAAAAUAAAUUACUCGGUUGGGCUUAGUGGAGGCACCUUAACUCUUGGCACCGAGAAGAUUCUGAGAUCCUCUUGAAUUCCAGGCCAGGAAGGGCUCCACAGUAAGAAUUUUUAAAAAAGGCAGUUGAUCAUCGAUGGUUCGGCAGGAGACCUAAUGGCUGUGCUUGCCAACAAACCCAAUCGGUGACUGUGACCCACUGCACAAUAACUGGACACUGGACACCAUCCUCUCCCCAGCAAUUUCAGAUGUGACUUAUUUUUGUGGCUCUGGUGACUGAACCCGGGGCUUCCUGUAUUCCAUGCCAAGUGCUCCACCUCUGCACUGAAGCCCGGGCCGGUCCUAUCCAAUUUCAAACUUUAACUUCAACUCUUGUAAGAAUUUAAACACUUUGUUUCCUUGGACUUACGACCUUCUCAAACAAAGGUUUUUUUAAUCUAAGUUUGUUCUGAUUCACAACUAAAACAUUCUAAGUUAAAAAGGGGUCUUGAAGAGUCAAGAUCUAAUGUCAGAGUUUGACUUCCUGUUGGCGGGAAUUUCCCGUUACCUCGAGGUGCGUUUCGGACCUGCUGAGAGGCACACUCGAUUACAUUACACUCACUGUAUUUUUCUCUAUUUUUCCCAGAAGCUAACUUGGAGGCGCAUCUAUCUAUCUAUGUAAGUGCGAAGAAAGCUAAGUCUUCCUUUGUCAUUCAAAACCCCACUCCUAAUCUCUUCUCUGGAGUCCCCCACUGGCUCGCAGAUGCCACCACGGGACUUCUUAUACUGGGGUUUGCACCUCAGAUUCAAGAGCUCAGUGGCCGAUGGUGUCCCACAGCCACGUAGCCUGCACAGAUGCCUGUCCUUUCCCUACAGAGGGCCUUGAUUCCACCUCGUUCUCCUGUUGACUGGACCUACCUGAUUGCACCCAGGGAACUGUGUGUGGUGACAUCGCAACACUAGGUGCAUUAAGGCCAGAAGCAAGCUGUACAUCAUCAGGAAAGGGUCUCAAGAAGUCCAGGAUGCCCUUGAACUUUGCAGCCGCAGUAAGCCUUGAACCCAGAAAUCUUCUGCCUCAGCC
rnacentral:lncRNA from 1 species